rnacentral:rRNA from 1 species
GAAUUUUAUAUAAAAGUUUAUAAAUAAAAUAUGUUUUAAUUAUGGAUUAUAAAUAUUUAUAUUUUAUUGGGGAGAUAAUUAAAUUAAUAAAACUUUAUAAGAAAUUGUACAUUAAUUUAUGAAAAUUUAGAAUUAAAUUUAUAUUAUUAGAAUUAAUUACCUUAGGGAUAACAGCGUUAAAUUUUUAGAGAGAUCAUAUUGAUAAAAAUUAUUGC